rnacentral:rRNA from 1 species
AUUGAACGCUGGCGGCAGGCCUAACACAUGCAAGUCGAACGAGUGGCGGACGGGUGAGUGAUGUCUGGGAACGUGCCCGAUGGAGGGGGAUAACUACUGGAAACGGUAGCUAAUACCGCAUACCAGCGGAUGUGCCCAGAUGGGAUUAGCUAGUAGGUUGGGUAACGGCUCACCUAGGCGACGAUCCCUAGCUGGUCUGAGAGGAUGACCAGCCACACUGGAAAUGAGACACGGGCCAGACUCCUACGGGAGGCAGCAGUGGGGAAUAUUGCACAAUGGGCGCAAGCCUGAUGUAGCAAUGCCGCGUGUGUGAAGAAGGCCUUCGGGUUGUAAAGUACUUUCAGCGGGGAGGCGUUACCCGAAGAAGAAGCCCCGGCUAACUCCGUGCCAGCAGCCGCGGUAAUAC